AUCCAAGUGCACGGGUUUUACACGCAUCAGUGAGGAGACAUCCGAGAUCGUGUUUUUGCUAGUUGAAAACUACCAAAUUGACCACUUCAGUCGGCCCCUUGGGGAAGACUGGGAAUUUUUGAAACAAUACAUG
rnacentral:snRNA from 1 species